CCUACGGGAGGCAGCAGUGGGGGAUAUUGGACAAUGGGGGGAACCCUGAUCCAGCGACGCCGCGUGAGUGAAGAAGUAUUUCGGUAUGUAAAGCUCUGUCAGCAGGGAAGAAAGAAAUGACGGUACCUGACCAAGAAGCCCCGGCUAACUACGUGCCAGCAGCCGCGGUAAUACGUAGGGGGCAAGCGUUAUCCGGAAUUACUGGGUGUAAAGGGAGCGUAGACGGUUAAGUAAGUCUGGAGUGAAAGGCCGGGGCGCAACCCCGGGACUGCUCUGGAAACUAUUGAACUUGAGUGCAGGAGAGGUAAGCGGAAUUCCUAGUGUAGCGGUGAAAUGCGUAGAUAUUAGGAGGAACACCAGUGGCGAAGGCGGCUUACUGGACUGUAACUGACGUUGAGGCUCGAAAGCGUGGGGAGCAAACAGGAUUAGAUACCCGAGUAGUC
rnacentral:rRNA from 1 species